CGGCAUGCCUAACACAUGCAAGUCGAACGAAGCCUUGGGCUUAGUGGCGCACGGGUGCGUAACGCGUGGGAAUCUGCCCUUGGGUUCGGAAUAACAGUUAGAAAUGACUGCUAAUACCGGAUGAUGUCUUCGGACCAAAGAUUUAUCGCCCAAGGAUGAGCCCGCGUAGGAUUAGGUAGUUGGUGGGGUAAAGGCCUACCAAGGCGACGAUCAGUAUCUGGUUUGAGAGGAUGAUCAGACACACUGGAACUGAGACACGGUCCAGACUCCUACGGGAGGCAGCAGUGGGGAAUUUUCCGCAAUGGGCGAAAGCCUGACGGAGCAAUCUCGCGUGGGGGAUGACGGCCUAUGGGUUGUAAACCUCUUUUUCAGGGAGGAACAAAAUGACGUGUACCUGAAGAAUAAGCAUCGGCUAACUCCGUG
rnacentral:rRNA from 1 species